rnacentral:rRNA from 1 species
UGACGGUAACUUACCAGAAAGGGACGGCUAACUACGUGCCAGCAGCCGCGGUAAUACGUAGGUCCCGAGCGUUGUCCGGAUUUAUUGGGCGUAAAGCGAGCGCAGGCGGUUUAAUAAGUCUGAAGUUAAAGGCAGUGGCUCAACCAUUGUUCGCUUUGGAAACUGUUAAACUUGAGUGCAGAAGGGGAGAGUGGAAUUCCAUGUGUAGCGGUGAAAUGCGUAGAUAUAUGGAGGAACACCGGUGGCGAAAGCGGCUCUCUGGUCUGUAACUGACGCUGAGGCUCGAAAGCGUGGGGAGCAAACAGGAUUAGAUACCCG